rnacentral:misc_RNA from 1 species
AUGAAAAGGAACCGCACUAGGAAUUAAAUUCUGUUAAUUUCCCUGUUAUGGAUAAUCCAAUUCUGGACGGGAAUAAUGCUUUCUUUCGAAAUUCCGAGUUAAGGAUUUGUUAGAUGUCUCGUUCCCCGCUUANNNUGCCUACUUUUAUUCGCACAUAUCUUCUGGUAUCCGAUUCUUCUUCUUCUUUAUUUUCUCAUCACCUCGCCACUCCGAGAUGCCUAUAUAAAUCCAGGAUGCGAAUAACCAAGAGGCCUGUUUCCUUCAG